AAUUCUUUGCCGGGGCAAUGCCGUUCUCGUCGAUUCAGCAUAGCUUUGCCCGUUUGAAGUCGAGUUUCUAUCCCUUCAAGAUGUUGGAUUUUAUCCUGAUGGAAGAGGAAGAUCAAAAGUUUCCAGUUGUAGUUUUGUCCCAAAAGGAUCUAUAAGGGAAAUCCAAUAUCAGAGGAGAUCCUUUGAAAGGGAUAACAAGGACUUGCCUAAUCCCAAGAAUUCAGAUUCGAUUCGAAAAAAAAAGGAAAAGAAAAAGAGAAAAAAAUCAAAAUCAAAAUCAAAAUAAAGAAAAAAACAAAAAGAAAAAGAGAAAUCAAUCAAAGUCAAAAUAAAAAUAUGAAAAGCAAAGAAAAGAAAAGAAGAGGCCAAGGCGAAAACCCAA
rnacentral:lncRNA from 1 species